AGGGAAGUCUUGACAAAGUUGGGCGAAGGGAAGCUGCUGAGGAGCCCUGAGGGGCAGUUCAGGAAAUUAAUUCUAUGAGAUCGCAAGGGGGAGGAGGAUAGGAAAGGGGGCACUCAGACGGCUGAAUGGGGAAGGGGAACAGCCCAGGGAGAGCGCCCACGCGGAAUCUCCUCCAGUAGAUAAAUUCUGUAGGCAUACCAAGAGUGGAAACCAUAAUAUACCAUAAAGAUUUCUCCAGAGCACACAGGCCCCUUUGAGUAGCUACUUCAGUAUAAUCUAAAGGACAUCACUCCAUAUGAACACCAUGGGCUACAAAGAAAGAUAUUGCUCUCAAUGGUGCCCAGAGACAUCUCACAUCUUCCAGCACAUUAAAGAACCACCCAAACCAUUCUCCAUGGGCUCUCCAGGUCAUUCCAAGAUUUUACUGCAUUGCUGCAGAACACCGCCACCUUUCUUGCCAGCUGGGGCUCCAUUACAAUGAAUCAGCAGCAAUGUUGGCAGCUGGGGUCGCUAAAUGUGAACGCUGGGGAUGGUGCUUACGUGGCAGAGGUGGAGAUGGAAUGAUUUGGAGAGGGUAACUAAUAAUAUACAACAUCUGAUGCAGAAGUGUUGCCAAUGAUUAAUUCUUAUAUUUUCCUCGUGUCUCAGGACAAGACAGUAAUACAUUGUGGUGAUGGAAUUGGUUGCACUGCAUUGAAUUUUAAAGAAAAAUAGAAAGGGAAGUAUUCAGUUUCAUUAGACCAGGUUCAAAUUUCUCCCUGACUUCUAUUUCAGCCUUCUGCUUCAGGGUCUAACUGGCCUGCCUGCGGCACCAUAUGCUUGCAUUUGACAUUGGUUUUACUAAUACCUUUGGAAAUAUAGAGCUAGAAGGAUUAUAUUGUAAAUCCUGAGAAGUAGAGUGUUACCGUGGGAAGGGCAAUGGAUUUGGAGUUCUGCUACUUAGGACCUGUGUGACCUUGAGUAAGUACUUAACCUCUUUGGGCCUCAACUUCCCCAUUUAUAAAAUGAAGGGGUUAGACUACAUGGCCUGAAAAGUCCCAUCCAGCUCUGAAUUUAUAAUUCUGUGACCUUCUCAUAUAUGUCUGUAAGGAACAGAGCUGGGAUUUGAACCCAGGCUGUUUAACUCCAAAGACUCAGCAUUUGUUUGAUUUCCCAACACUAUUUUCAAGGUGAAAAAGCUUUUUCAGUCAAAGUUAAGUGACAAAAGGUAACUUAGUCACCAAUAACUAUCUUGAAGCGGGC
rnacentral:lncRNA from 1 species